rnacentral:rRNA from 1 species
CUACGGGUUGCUGCAGUGAGGAAUAUUGCACAAUGGGGGGAACCCUGAUGCAGCAACGCCGCGUGGAGGAUGACGCAUUUCGGUGUGUAAACUCCUUUUAUAUGUCAAGAAAAUGACGGUAGCAUAUGAAUAAGCACCGGCUAACUCCGUGCCAGCAGCCGCGGUAAUACGGAGGGUGCAAGCGUUACUCGGAAUCACUGGGCGUAAAGGACGCGUAGGCGGGCUUGUAAGCCAGGUGUGAAAUCCUACAGCUUAACUGUAGAACUGCACUUGAAACUACGAGCCUAGAGUAUGGGAGGGAGAGAUGGAAUUAGUGGUGUAGGGGUAAAAUCCGUAGAUAUCACUAGGAAUACCUAAAGCGAAGGCGAUCUCCUGGAACAUAACUGACGCUAAGGCGUGAAAGCGUGGGGAGCAAACAGGAUUAGAUACCCGCGUAGUC